UACGUAGGGGGCAAGCGUUGUCCGGAUUCAUUGGGCGUAAAGGGCGUGCAGGCGGUCUGUUAAGUGCAGGGUGAAAGCUCCCGGCUCAACUGGGAGAGGUCCUUGCAUACUGGCGGACUUGAGGGGGGUAGAGGAAAGUGGAAUUCCCGGUGUAGUGGUGAUAUGCGUAGAUAUCGGGAGGAACACCUGUGGCGAAGGCGGCUUUCUGGGCCCUACCUGACGCUGAGACGCGAAAGCGUGGGGAGCGAACCGG
rnacentral:rRNA from 1 species